rnacentral:rRNA from 1 species
GGAAUCUUGGACAAUGGGGGCAACCCUGAUCCAGCGAUGCCGCGUGAGUGAAGAAGGCCUUCGGGUCGUAAAGCUCUUUAGGCUGGGCAGAAGGAUGGUAGUUUAAGAGAUAAUCAACUUGACGGUACCAGCCGAAUAAGCACCGGCAAACUCUGUUCCAGCAGCCGCGGUAAUACAGAGGGUGCGAGCGUUAAUCGGAUUUACUGGGCGUAAAGGGCGCGUAGGCGGUUAGAUGAGUGUGAUGUGAAAGCCCCGGGCUUCACCUGGGAUGUGCAUCGCAAACGAUCUGACUGGAGUAGAUGAGAGGGUGAUGGAAUUUCCGGUGUAGCGGUGAAAUGCGUAGAUAUCGGAAGGAACGUCAAUGGCGAAGGCAGUCACCUGGCAUCAUACUGACGCUGAGGCGCGAAAGCGUGGGGAGCAAAC